AAAUAGUAAAGUACUAUGCAUACAUACUUGCGUGAUUACAAAGGCUUAAACAGUUUAGAUUUACAACUCUGAACGAUCACCGCAUAGAAAUUGUUAAAUCACAAUCCUAGUACAUCAACUUUUAGAUUUCAUUUUCUGAAACUCGUUUCCAUUUGCGCAUGUUUAUUUGGAGAGAAACCUCUAGGUCUUUCUCCUCGCUUAGCUUAUCAAGCGUUUUUAACAUGUGCAACAAAGCAUAUCCACGUCUUUACCUCCAUUUGUGAUGCAACUUGAUUCACCAUCAUCGUGCAAUGGACACUUUUUGUCGAGGAAUUUGUUACACUACUUGAAGUAUCUGAAGUCAGAGGUACAACGAAACAAUAGCCCUUUAUGGUCAUUGUUCUUUUCAAUCUCCAUCCAUUUAACAAAACUCUCACACAAUUUGGACAUCUUCUCUUUCUCGGGCAUUCUGACAGCUAAUGAUGUCAAUGGCUCCGCUCGGCCCUUAACCUCUCGAGCUCGGCUCAUUGAUUUUGGGCGAGCUCGUGGGCCGAGCCGAGCUUUAGCUCACGAGCUCAUCAUCUUUUUAUUUUUAGUUUUUUUUUAAAUAGAGAAAAAC
rnacentral:lncRNA from 1 species